rnacentral:rRNA from 1 species
GUGGGGGAUAUUGCGCAAUGGGCGAAAGCCUGACGCAGCGACGCCGCGUGGGUGAUGAAGGCCUUCGGGUCGUAAAGCCCUGUCGAGGGGAAAGAAACGGUCUCGACCUAACACGUCGGGAUCCUGACGGUACCCCUAAAGGAAGCACCGGCUAACUCCGUGCCAGCAGCCGCGGUAAUACGGAGGGUGCGAGCGUUGUUCGGAAUCACUGGGCGUAAAGGGCGUGUAGGCGGUCCGCUAAGUCUGAUGUGAAAGCCCGGGGCUCACCCCCGGAAGGGCAUUGGAAACUGACGGACUCGAGUCCCGAAGAGGAGGGUGGAAUUCCUGGUGUAGCGGUGAAAUGCGUAGAUAUCAGGAGGAACACCGGUGGCGAAGGCGGCCCUCUGGACGGUGACUGACGCUGAGACGCGAAAGCGUGGGGAGCAAACAGGAUUAGAUACCCUAGUAGUCC